GAUGAACGCUGGCGGCGUGCCUAAUACAUGCAAGUCGGGCGAACAGACGAGGAGCUUGCUCCUCUGACGUUAGCGGCGGACGGGUGAGUAACACGUGGAUAACCUACCUAUAAGACUGGGAUAACUUCGGGAAACCGGAGCUAAUACCGGAUAAUAUAUUGAACCGCAUGGUUCAAUAGUGAAAGACGGUUUUGCUGUCACUUAUAGAUGGAUCCGCGCCGCAUUAGCUAGUUGGUAAGGUAACGGCUUACCAAGGCAACGAUGCGUAGCCGACCUGAGAGGGUGGGCGGCCACCGGUGAAGUGAGACGCGCCCCGGCCUACAGCGGGAGGCAGCAGUGGGGAUUCUUCCGCAAGGGGCAAAAGCUUGACGGACCAAGUCCGGGGGAAAGAAGAAGUUUUUAGGUACGUAAACCUUUGUUAUGGGGAAAAAACAAAUGUGAAAUGAACUAUGCCGUUCUGGCGGCCCCUUAACAAGAAGGCACGGCCUAAUUAGGUC
rnacentral:rRNA from 1 species